rnacentral:rRNA from 1 species
GUCCACGCCGUAAACUAUGGAUACUAGGUGUGGGGGUCUGACCCCCUCCGUGCCGGAGUUAACACAAUAAGUAUCCCACCUGGGGAGUACGACCGCAAGGUUGAAACUCAAAGGAAUUGACGGGGGCCCGCACAAGCAGUGGAGUAUGUGGUUUAAUUCGAAGCAACGCGAAGAACCUUACCGAGGCUUGACAUGGAAACGACCGCGCUAGAGAUAGCGCUUUCCCUUCGGGGACGUUUCACACAGGUGGUGCAUGGUUGUCGU